UUCUCACUUUGAAAGCUUUCCUCUGCCUGUUAACUGUAGGCAGAGAUAGUCAAGGCUUCGGAGUAGCCCCGUGGGGGACGCCGUGUGCCUGUGAGAUGGGGUGACCGAAGUAGUGGCCUGUGGGAAGUAAGAUGCUUUCUGGAGCUGGGGGCACCGUGUUCUGUUUUCCUGUGACUCCGCCACAGCCGUGGGAAACAUAAGGGUUGGGGUCUUAGAAUGACAAGCUUCCGGAGGGAACUGAAUUAAUCCACAGAGUUCAAGCAGAGCGAGCUAGGAGGCAGAGUAGUCUACUCCCUUGCUCCAGGGCCCACACCCACUACUAAUGUGUUUACAUUUGAACCCUUGCCAAACUUCCCCCCCCCCCAACCCCCGCUGCCCCCCAGUUUAAAAAGGGAGGUUUUGUGUAGGGGGAAAAGCUAAGGAUAAAAGGGUUUCCGUUCAAAAGUCUCCUGCCUUUGUUGCUUAUUGCAGCUUUUGCUCCUGAUGCUGUGAGGACUACACACUUCUAAGAAAUUAGCGUUGUUGUGGUUUCCCUUUCAGCUUUGGAGCCCACGAGUGACCUCACCCAGAGGGGCCGAGCGAGCCUCUUGUCAGGAUGUGUUCGCUCCGGCUGCCAUAACAAAAUACCACAGUCCGGGUUUCAUAAACGACAGACGUGUCUCUCACGGUUCUGGAGGCCACCGGUCCAGGAUCGGGUGCUGGCCGACUUGGUUCCCGGUGGGGACUCUCUUCCUGGCUUGCAGACGGCUGCCUUCUCACUGCCCUCACACGGUGGAGGAAGAGCGAGAUCUGGUGUCUCUUCCUCUCACAAGGACGCUAAUGUCAUCAUGGGGUCCCACCCUCAUGACCUCACGGAGGCCCUGCCUUCCGGUGCCAUUAUCCUGGGGGAUAGGGCUUCACCAUAUGAAUAUGGGGGGGAGGGGACACAUUCAGCCCAUAACAGUCUUGUGUGUGACAGAAUUGACUGUUCACGCGACAGACCUCGUGCUCCCCUCCCCCCUCCGCAAUGCCGUCUUCCCGUUUUCCCAGUUUCCGUUGUGUCUCUGGUGAUCACAUGACCUCGUUCUGGCCAAUCAGGAGCAGGGAGACCCCCAGGGGCUUCUGGGAGUGACCCCCCCUCCCCCCCUCGACGGCGGGGGAGACUUCUGAGCAGAAGGCUUACCCAGCCGCGUCUCCUCCUGGAGCCGCAGUCUGGGGCUGCCGAGGCGGAGCGCCACAGUGAGAGCCCGGGUCCCCGAUGACGCCACUGAGCGUCGGAGCAGCCCCGAGGCAUCUGACGCCAGGUCCCUGUG